GCCUACGGGGGGCAGCAGUGGGGAAUAUUGCACAAUGGGGGAAACCCUGAUGCAGCAACGCCGCGUGAGUGAAGAAGUAUUUCGGUAUGUAAAGCUCUAUCAGCAGGGAAGAAGAUGACGGUACCUGAGUAAGAAGCCCCGGCUAACUACGUGCCAGCAGCCGCGGUAAUACGUAUGGAGCAAGCGUUAUCCGGAUUUACUGGGUGUAAAGGGAGAGUAGGUGGCAGAGCAAGUCCGAAGUGAAAACCCAAAGCUCAACUAUGGGAAUGCUUUAGAAACUGCUCAGCUAGAGUGCAGGAGAGGCA
rnacentral:rRNA from 1 species